GCUCCGUUGGUGAACCAGCGGAGGGAUCAUUACAGGAUCGAAAGACUCCUAUAACCCCUGUGAACUUACUACAAAUACGUUGCUUCGGCGGGUGCCCCGGGUCUCCCGGGGCGUUCAGCCCGCCGGCAGCCUUCAAAUUCUGUUUCUUUGCGUUGGCAUCUCGAGUAUACAAAAAUAAGUUAAAACUUUCAACAACGGAUCUCUUGGUUCUC
rnacentral:misc_RNA from 1 species